GUGAUGGUCAAUUGUGUCAGCAGGUGUUCUUUGCAUAGUUUGACUUCUCAGCUUGAAUUUCAGAAAGUGCAAAUGAUUUUGGAAUAAGUCAGAGUAUAAACAAACAAAUUAGAAUUGGAAUUUUCUUCUUUUCUUGUUAUCUCCAUCCAUCAGCUCUUAAGGCUUCUGUCUUCAAUAGGAAUAGGCUUAUUUGCUUGCACACAUCAAUCAAAUUUGUCACAGACCUCAUUGAUUCACAUUUCACCACUGCAGUUUAAAAUUGGUUUUCCUCUUCUUGCUACAAGAAUUGUCCUUAAUUAUCAAAAUUAAUGACUUUGAGCUGGUGAAGUUUUUUUUGCUUCAAAUUUUAAGAAGCCUAUAAAUAUCAGACUAUGGGAUAUUAAAAAAAUACAUUUUCCCUCUUUAAACAAACAGAUAAAUGUGGAGAAGGAGCCUGGAACUCUUGUUUCUGAGAUGGCGUCAGUCAUCUUGGCGGCUGCCUUCUGCAGCCUGCGCACUGGAGCCAGUCCAGCCAUAGCUGCCAUAACUCGCCGGAUUUCUCUCUCACAUUCCGUAAUAAAGGACUUUCAAUGUCUGCACAGAUGGGAAUUCUGCUGCCACCUUCUCAUUUCACAUUUCCUGCACUUUCUUUCCAAAGCACUCGCCUGCCUGAAAUAGAAUCAUAGUUUUUUUCAGUCUACGUGUAGGAAUUUAGUGGGAGAAUGGACAGGGUAUCUGUAGCUCCCUAUAAUUACCACACGAUGAAGUAAUGAUUUCCUGUUGACUAUAAGGUACUUAAAGGAGGCAGAAAUGUGAUCAGAGGUUUUACAGAGAACUGCACAUGAUUUUCUUUCGGAGAUGGUUGGAAAGGGCCCAUGAAGAGGCAGGAUGUCAGUGUUGACCCCGUAAGCCUUUAGGAAAGAGGAGGCAGCAGUCUUUUCCUGGCCUGCCACCUACUAGACCCCUCAUGAAUCCCCUGCCGUCAUGAGGUCUCUUCCCAAAGGGAUAUCCCCCCAUCCUCUGCCUUUUUAAACUGGAUUCCCACAAGGAUCAAUGUCCGUGUUUCUCUCUGCCUAGUUGAAUUUUCUCUAUCCUUCAAGACUAUCUCAGAUCAUACCUCUUCUGGGAAGGCUUCCUGAAUAGCUUGAGCUGGAAGUAAUUUCCCCUAUGUCUGAACACAGAAUCCCUAAUGAUUGCACAUUCUUGUGUUGCCCACACACAAAGAUAAUAGGCAGUAAUAAAAGCUAAUGAAACAAAUGACAUUAACUGAGCACUUACGUGCCAGGCACUAUCUUUUCACUUUACAUGUUGAAGCCAGAAUUCUUACAGUUACUUUAUGGGGUAGGUUAUAUUAUUAUUCCCAUUUUACAGAUGAGGAUCCUGAGACAUAUCGUGAUAUGAUACCUAAUCAGAUCAGAAGCUCCACUUACCAUCUCUUUGACUUAUUGAUUUGUCUCUUUCACCGCACAAAGCUCAGGGCCUUGCAAUCAGUAAUUGCUUGGCUAAUAUUUGUCUAUUAAUGUGCUUAAUGGAACUUGAGACCAUGAAAGUAGAAUUUGAAAAACAUUUCUGAUGGUCAGAUACGCUACUUUUCAUCUUCUGUCAACAGGGAAAGACUGUGAAAUGAAAUGGCUGGGGUUGAUAAAAAUCACCAUAACAAAAACAAAUCCUUAGUUAAUAUGCACAGUAUGCCAGAUGCUGUGGUAAGUGAUGUAUGUUCAUUACAUUUCUUAAUCUCAGGUUUUCCCCCACUAAAGGAUCAGAGAGAGAUUGAAAACUGCUUGCAAUAAGAUCAAAUAAAGAUGAAGGCAAAGGGAAUACAAAUGUUUUAAGUUAGAAAAAUCCUAAGUUUAGUUAUUACCCCAAAAUGAAUGUUCUAAGGAUCCUCCUUUGGUAGUGAGACACAAGUUUGACUCUAAGUUUUCUAGUGUUUAUGGCAAAAGCAGACGCACAAUCAAUUAUAGUACCUACACACUAAGAUAAAGACAAACCAGCUAUUUGAAGGUAGCACUCAUAAAUGUUGAAUCAAACCAUUUCUUCUUACAAUUCUCAACAUAGACCAUUCUCAUCUUGCAGAAGAGCAGAAUGGUAAAAUCCAUUCUAGGAGGAGGCAGAUUAUUGGGCUUCAGUAUGCAGUUGAGUUCGGCUUAAUGUACAAUAUCUAAGAGCUGGAUGGACUGUACAUGCUUCAGAAAAAUUCUCUAUGAAUAUUAUUUCUCAUAACCACUGUGUCAUACUAUCUGUGCCAGACAAUUAUCCUUCCCCUUUCAACUAAAAGCUGCAUAGGUAUUUUGGUAUAACUCUUAUUAACACCUUUAGAAUUAGCAUGCCAGGAAUAAUGUUUGGAAAACCUAGUCCUGUAGGCAAUAUGGAACUUUAAAAACUGACUUUUCCGUGGGGUAAAUGAAAUCCAAACUCCCUCGUAUUAUUUAUGGUACUUUUCACAACCUGAUCUCAACCUGCUUUCUAGACCGAAUUUAUUAUCCUCCUGUUAGCACCUUCGUGCUUCCUUCAAACCAGUCUCAUGAAAACACUCAGUGCUUUUACUCACUGAAACCUCAUAGACGCUUCCUAGAAACCUCUCUUCUCUUUCCCUUCUCCCCUGUUUCUCCGCCUAGUGGGUCUUGAAGGACGUCGCCUUUCCUGCAAACCCCGCUUCCAUCUAACAAUUAAUUUUACCCUUUACUAGAGUCCUACGGCAUCUUGCUAAUAUCACAUUUUAUUAUCCUCCUUUGUUAGCAUCUCUGAUUUUUCUGCCAAACUGUGAGCUCCUCCAGGGUAGAAUGUGUUUUAUUUACCUUUGUAUCUCAGCACUGGGCACAUAGUCUGACCUGGACUCAUUUCACCAAGUAUUUAUUGUUUCCUGCACUGACAAAGCGAGCUGGGACAAUUCUUAUUCUAAGAUGCUACAUAAAAAAAAAAUGUUACUCCACAGGUGACCCACGUAUGUUUCUAUUAUUCUCUGAAGCCGUUUGGUGCUAUGCAGAUUGAUUAAUCCAUAUUAUUUGGUAUAAAAAGGAUAAUAUAGUAAAUGAGUUGAACUACACAUGGAAUGCACUAAACUCUUUUUUUCUCAGCAUUUUCCAGAUUUGAAAAGCUUCAAAGGAAGCUGUACCUGUAUGUUGCCAUUUAUUUCAAGUUUUUUCUCUUUUUGUGUAAAAUCUGUCAUGCCAAAGAAUUUUGCUUGUGUUUGGUAUGCGGAUGAAUCACUUCAGCCACCAAUAAAAUGUACAGCCCUUACAAGUAAAACAGAGCAACUAUCCCAGAAGACCUUGACAAUAUUACAGCAGAGCUAAGAGCCACCUGGAACAUCAAAUCAAGAAGCAUCCUUGAAAGGCUCAGAUUUUGAAUUGCAAAGUGAUACCCAAAACAUCUAGCUAUUAUUCAUAGAGCUGGGCAAGAAGAAAUAAAACAAGUGGUGGAUUUUUAAAAGAGAAUUUUGGCUUGCAUCUUUUAUACAUGAGGUGGAUUAUUCUCAAGGAGACAGAAAAAGAAAACUACUUUCUCCGUUCUGGAAGUAUCUGGAUUCAGAUUACAUACAGAUAAGAUGAUGCAAAAUCUGAGACUCUCCCUUCGUGGACCACAGGAGCAUCUAAACAAAUCAAGAUCCAGGUUAUAGGAUCCAGCUUUUUAGGUGGUAGCAACAUGCUUAAGGAAGAUGCAGCCCUUCCUCCAGCCUGAGAGAAUGAAGCAUCAUUGGCUUAUAUCAACCAUAGCAAUCCCAUUUCCCUUUUCUCAUGAUUUAUUUGGGAAUGGGCAAGUGACCCAGUCCUGACCAAUGAGACCAAAGAAACAGUCUAUUGGUCAGCUCAUCUCAGAAGAUUUUUGUUUCCUGCUAUGAAGAGAAGCAGUAAGUUUCUUCCUGCCUGACUUAAAUGCAAUUGUGUGCAAACAUGUUACUUGGAGCUACAGCAAUCAUUUCCUGACGGUGAGGCAAUAAUCCAAGGACAAAGGAUAGAAUAGUGAAAAGACAGAGUAUUGGGUUUUUGAUGAUAUCAUUCAACUGCUGGACCAAUCUGGAACCACCUGCUUUCAGUCAUUCAUGAUUUGUGAGAUUAUCAAAAAUUUCUAUUGUUUUA